rnacentral:rRNA from 1 species
GACGAACGCUGGCGGCGUGCUUAACACAUGCAAGUCGAGCGGAAAGGCCCUUUUGGGGGUACUCGAGCGGCGAACGGGUGAGUAACACGUGAGCAACGUGCCUUCUUUCUGGGGAUACCGUUUGGAAACGAACGUUAAUACCGAAUGUGCCCACACUGCGGCAUCGUAGUGUGUGUAAACUGUUAGGGAGAGAAGAGCGGCUCGCGUUCUAUCAGCUAGAUGGUGGGGUAACGGCCUACCAUGGCUAAGACGGGUAGCUGGUCUGAGAGGAUGAUCAGCCACACUGGAACUGAGACACGGUCCCCACUCCUACGGGUGGCAGCAGUUUCGAAUCAUUCACAAUGGGCGAAAGCCUGAUGGAGCGACGCCGCGUGAGGGAUGAAGGCCUUCGGAUUGUAAACCUCUUUUCCCGGGGAAGAAACGCUGUGAGUUAAUAAUUCAAAGCCUGACUUAACCCGCAUAGGAACCACUGGCUAACUCUGUGCCGGCCGACCCUUGUCUACAGAGACUGCACGUGUUAUUCGGAUUCGCUGGGCGUAAAGGGUGCGCAGGCGGCCAUGUGUGUGAGGCGUGAAAGCCCGGGGCUACACCCCGGAAUUGCGCCUCAAACUGCAUGGCUAAAUCAUUGGAGAGGGUAGCAGAGUUCAUGGAGUAGCAGUGAAAUGCGUAGAUAUCGUGAGGAAUACCAGAGGAGCAUGACGGCUACCUGGACAAUUGCUGACGCUCACGCACGAAAGAGUCGGGAGCAAAAGGGGAUUAGAUAGCCCAUGUAGUCCACGCCUUGUCCGGUCCACAAUAGGUGCAGGCGGAUUCGACCCCCCCAGGACCCCAGCUAACGCGUUAAGUGUGCCGCAAGAGGACUACGGCCGCAAGGCUAAAACUCAAAGGAAUUGAAGGGGGCCCGCACAAGCGGUGGAGUAUGUGGCUCAAUUCGAUUCAACUUGAAGAACCUUACCUGGCCUUGACCUGCGUUAGACAGGCGCUGAAAGGCCCCCUCCAUUGGGGGGCGGUGCACAGUUGUUGCAUGGCGGUGGUCAGCUCGUGUCAUGAGAUGUUGCGUUAAGUCGGGCAAAGAGCGCAACCCCUGUCCUUAGUUGCCAUCAUUCAGUUGGGCACUUUAGGGAGACAAACCCUCUUUGAGGGUGGGAAGGUGGGGAGGAGGUCAAGUCAGGAUGGCCCUUACUCCCAGGGUUGCACACGUAUUCCAAUGCCGGGUAAAGAGGGACGCAAUACCGAGAGGUGGAGCAAAUCCUCAAAACCGGUCCCAGUUCAGAUUGUAGUCUGCAACUCGACUACAUGAAGUUGGAAUCGCUAGUAAUGGCGCAUCAGCUAUGGCGCCGUGAAUACGUUCCCGGACCUUGCACUCACCGC